GCGGGGCUCGGUCGCACAAGAAAAGACGCGUGUUUAAGCUUGCGUUGCAGAUUUUUUCUCGUCUUUUCGUCAGGAGCCACUAUGUCCUACCCCGUGGUUGACGACAGCAAGUUCUCGUUUAAACAGAAGCAAAUGGUCACAAAGGCUCGCUCUGGAUCCGGCAUACACAUAACAGACACCCCUCUUCACCCUUGCAAAUGGUCGCGAAGGCUCGCUCUGGAUCCGGCAUACACAUAACAGACACCGUAAGUAUCGAACAGUUUUUCCGUGGUCGAAUUAGCGGAUCCGCUAAUUAAUCGGCUCCGAGGUAACAGAUGACCAUAGGCGUAUGAGAAAUCGCCCUGUUGUUGACCACAGCCUCUUCACCCUUGCAAAUGGUCGCGAAGGCUCGCUCUGGAUCCGGCAUACACAUAACAGACACCCCUCUUCACCCUUGCAAAUGGUCGCGAAGGCUCGCUCUGGAUCCGGCAUACACAUAACAGACACCGUAAGUAUCGAACAGUUUUUCCGUGGUCGAAUUAGCGGAUCCGCUAAUUAAUCGGCUCCGAGGUAACAGAUGACCAUAGGCGUAUGAGAAAUCGCCCUGUUGUUGACCACAGCCUCUUCACCCUUGCAAAUGGUCGCGAAGGCUCGCUCUGGAUCCGGCAUACGCAUAACCGACACCGUAAGUAUCGAACAGUUUUUCCGUGGUCGAAUUAGCGGAUCCGCUAAUUAAUCGGCUCCGAGGUAACAGAUGACCAUAGGCGUAUGAGAAAUCGCCCUGUUGUUGACCACAGCCUCUUCACCCUUGCAAAUGGUCGCGAAGGCUCGCUCUGGAUCCGGCAUACGCAUAACCGACACCGUAAGUAUCGAACAGUUUUUCCGUGGUCGAAUUAGCGGAUCCGCUAAUUAAUCCGAGGUAAUCGAUCCGCUCUGAUGUAAUAGAUGGCUAUAGGCGUACGAGAAAUCGCCGAGGUUGACCAAGGACGCGCAGUAGCCGACCGCGUGUAAUCCACUCUUUGCCAGGGCUCGGAACCGGAAUAUUUUUUCGGUCCGGUUCGAGUUCGGGUGCAGACAUAUUGUACCGAAAUUAUCAGCUUGAACCAGUUCAGUUAUAUCGGUUCGGUUCGGGUUCGGUUCACGGAGAACCCUCCUCCCUCCCACUCGGACAUACACAGACAAAAAGAAAAAAAAAAAAAAAAAGAGAAUCGGUCACCUGUCGGGAUAUUUACGGGGAUUGGAAUCGUUACUUUUUUUUCGGUCCCGGUUUAUAACCGGUUC